rnacentral:rRNA from 1 species
GACGAACGCUGGCGGCGUGCCUAAUACAUGCAAGUAGAACGCACAGUUUAUACCGUAGCUUGCUACACCAUAGACUGUGAGUUGCGAACGGGUGAGUAACGCGUAGGUAACCUGCCUGGUAGCGGGGGAUAACUAUUGGAAACGAUAGCUAAUACCGCAUAAUAUUAAUUAUUGCAUGAUAAUUAAUUGAAAGGUGCAAUUGCACCACUACCAGAUGGACCUGCGUUGUAUUAGCUAGUAGGUGAGGUAACGGCUCACCUAGGCGACGAUACAUAGCCGACCUGAGAGGGUGAUCGGCCAAACUGGGACUGAGACACUGCCCAGACUCCUACGGGAGGCAGCAGUAGGGAAUCUUCGGCAAUGGACGAAAGUCUGAACGAGCAACGCCGCGUGAGUGAAGAAGGUUUUCGGAUCGUAAAGCUCUGUUGUAAGAGAAGAACGGGUGUGAGAGUGGAAAGUUCACACUGUGACGGUAUCUUACCAGAAAGGGACGGCUAACUACGUG